GCAGGCCUAACACAUGCAAGUCGAACGGUAGCACAGAGGAGCUUGCUCCUUGGGUGACGAGUGGCGGACGGGUGAGUAAUGUCUGGGAAACUGCCCGAUGGAGGGGGAUAACUACUGGAAACGGUAGCUAAUACCGCAUAACGUCGCAAGACCAAAGAGGGGGACCUUCGGGCCUCUUGCCAUCGGAUGUGCCCAGAUGGGAUUAGCUAGUAGGUGGGGUAACGGCUCACCUAGGCGACGAUCCCUAGCUGGUCUGAGAGGAUGACCAGCCACACUGGAACUGAGACACGGUCCAGACUCCUACGGGAGGCAGCAGUGGGGAAUAUUGCACAAUGGGCGCAAGCCUGAUGCAGCCAUGCCGCGUGUAUGAAGAAGGCCUUCGGGUUGUAAAGUACUUUCAGCGAGGAGGAAGGCGUUGUGGUUAAUAACCGCAGCGAUUGACGUUACUCGCAGAAGAGGCACCGGCUAACUCCGUGCCAGCAGCCGCGGUAAUACGGAGGGUGCAAGCGUUAAUCGGAAUUACUGGGCGUAAAGCGCACGCAGGCGGUCUGUCAAGUCGGAUGUGAAAUCCCCGGGCUCAACCUGGGAACUGCAUCCGAAACUGGCAGGCUAGAGUCUUGUAGAGGGGGGUAGAA
rnacentral:rRNA from 1 species